rnacentral:rRNA from 1 species
GACGAACCGUGCGAACGUUGUUCGGAAUCACUGGGCUUAAAGGGCGCGUAGGCGGCCGGGUUGGUCGUGGGUGAAAUCCCCCAGCUUAACUGGGGAACUGCCUACGAUACUGCCUGGCUCGAGGGAGGAAGGGGCGGUCGGAACUGUCGGUGGAGCGGUGAAAUGCGUUGAUAUCGACAGGAACGCCGGUGGCGAAAGCGGACCGCUGGCCUUCUUCUGACGCUGAGGCGCGAAAGCCAGGGGAGCGAACGGG